AGGACGACGCUGGCGGCGUGCCUAACACAUGCAGGUCGAGCGGAGUUGACAAGAGGAAGUUUCGGAUGGAAUUUGUAAUUAGCGGCGGACGGGUGAGUAACGCGUGAGCGACCAACCUUGCACAGGGGGAUAACGGACCGAAAGGUUCACUAAUACCGCAUGAGACCACGGUGUUGCAUGACACAGGGGUCAAAGGAGUAAUCCGGUGCAAGACGGGCUCGCGUCCGAUUAGGUAGUUGGAGGGGUAACGGCCCACCAAGCCUAUGAUCGGUAGCCGACCUGAGAGGGUGAUCGGCCACAUUGGAACUGAGAUACGGUCCAAACUCCUACGGGAGGCAGCAGUGGGGAAUAUUGGGCAAUGGGGGGAAACCCUGACCCAGCAACGCCGCGUGAAGGAAGAAGGUUUUCGGAUUGUAAACUUCUGUCCUUGGUGAAGAGAAGAAGACGGUAGCCAAGGAGGAAGCCCCGGCUAACUACGUGCCAGCCGCCGC
rnacentral:rRNA from 1 species